rnacentral:lncRNA from 1 species
UCCCUUCAUAGUAGCAUACAUUUUUUCAUUAACUAAAAAAUAAAUUAAACUGUAUGGGGAGAAAGAUCACGAGGAGGGGAAUUUCAUGGGCUAACAUAGUGGUGAAUAUUUCAGUAGUCCUGCGAAGGAGAAUUUAUAACAAGACGGAGAUACGACGAAUGUUCCUUUCUUGCCUCACCUUGUCUUCUUGAAUUUCUCGGAUGAACCUGUCUAGUGAUUCCUUGAUGAAAAUUGAGCUCAUGCUUGGCCUUGGACUUGGAGGAAUUUCUUUGAUAAGUGAUUGAGCUAUUUGGAAGAAUGAUGAAUAAAUAUUUUUAUAAUAUCUAGUAUAUUUAUGG